rnacentral:rRNA from 1 species
GACGAACGCUGGCGGCGUGCUUAACACAUGCAAGUCGAACGGAAAGGCUCUGCUUUUGUGGGGUGCUCGAGUGGCGAACGGGUGAGUAACACGUGAGUAACCUGCCCUUGACUUUGGGAUAACUUCAGGAAACUGGGGCUAAUACCGGAUAGGAGCUCCUGCUGCAUGGUGGGGGUUGGAAAGUUUCGGCGGUUGGGGAUGGACUCGCGGCUUAUCAGCUUGUUGGUGGGGUAGUGGCUUACCAAGGCUUUGACGGGUAGCCGGCCUGAGAGGGUGACCGGCCACAUUGGGACUGAGAUACGGCCCAGACUCCUACGGGAGGCAGCAGUGGGGAAUAUUGCACAAUGGGCGGAAGCCUGAUGCAGCAACGCCGCGUGCGGGAUGACGGCCUUCGGGUUGUAAACCGCUUUCGCCUGUGACGAAGCGUGAGUGACGGUAAUGGGUAAAGAAGCACCGGCUAACUACGUGCCAGCCGCCGCAGUAAUAC